UGCCAGCCGCCGCGGUAAUACGGAGGUGGCAAACGUUGCUCGGAAUCACUGGGCUUAAAGGGCGUGUAGGCGGCCAACUAAGUCGGAUGUGAAAGACCUCGGCUCAACCGAGGAACUGCAUUCGAUACUGGUUGGCUAGAGUGCGAGAGGGGCAAGUGGAGCUCCAGGUGUAGCGGUGAAAUGCGUAGAUAUCUGGAGGAACGCCGGUGGCGAAAGCGACUUGCUGGCUCGCAACUGACGCUGAGGCGCGAAAGCUAGGGUAGCGAACGGGAUUAGAUA
rnacentral:rRNA from 1 species